UACGGAGGGGGCUAGCGUUGUUCGGAAUUACUGGGCGUAAAGUGCACGUAGGCGGCUUUGUAAGUUAGAGGUGAAAGCCCGGGGCUCAACUCCGGAAUUGCCUUUAAGACUGCAUCGCUAGAAUUGUGGAGAGGUAAGUGGAAUUCCGAGUGUAGAGGUGAAAUUCGUAGAUAUUCGCAAGAACACCAGUGGCGAAGGCGGCUCACUGGCCCGGUACUGACGCUGAGGUGCGAAAGCGUGGGGAGCAAACAGG
rnacentral:rRNA from 1 species